rnacentral:rRNA from 1 species
CAAAAACAUGUCUUUUUGAUUUUGAUUAAAGGUCUGGCCUGCCCAAUGAAGUUUAAAUGGCCGCAGUAUUUUGACUGUGCAAAGGUAGCAUAAUCAUUAGUUUCCUAAUUAGGAGCUGGAAUGAAAGGUUUGAUGAGAAAUCAACUGUCUCAUAGUUAUUAAAAUUGAAUUUUAUUUUUGAGUUAAAAAGCUCAAAUUUUGUAUAGGGACGAGAAGACCCUAUAGAGUUUUAUUAUUUUCUUUUUUAUAAGGAGAAGGUUGGAAUUAUUAUAAAAUUUGAAUUAAUUUUGUUGGGGUGAUGGGGAAAUUUAUUAAACUUUCUUUUUAUUUUUACACUAUUGAGUGGUUUUUUGAUCCUUUUUUUAAGAUUAUAAGAUUAAAUUACCUUAGGGAUAACAGCGUAAUUUCUUUUGAAAGUUCAUAUUUAUAAAGGAGUUUGCGACCUCGAUGUUGGAUUAAAGUUAAUUUUUGGUGUAGAGGCUAAAAUAUUAGGUCUGUUCGACCUUUAAAACUUUACAUGAUCUGAGU